AUUGAACGCUGGCGGCAGGCCUAACACAUGCAAGUCGAACGGUAGCACAGAGAGCUUGCUCUCGGGUGACGAGUGGCGGACGGGUGAGUAAUGUCUGGGAAACUGCCCGAUGGAGGGGGAUAACUACUGGAAACGGUAGCUAAUACCGCAUAACGUCGACAGACAAAAGUGGGGGACCUUCGGGCCUCACACCAUCGGAUGUGCCAAGAUGGGGUUAGCUAGUAGGUGGGGUAAUGGCUCACCUAGGCGACGAUCCCUAGCUGGUCUGAGAGGAUGACCAGCCACCCGGGAACUGAGACACGGUCCAGACUCCUACGGGAGGCAGCAGUGGGGAAUAUUGCACAAUGGGCGCAAGCCUGAUGCAGCCAUGCCGCGUGUAUGAAGAAGGCCUUCGGGUUGUAAAGUACUUUCAGCGGGGAGGAAGGCGGUGAAGUUAAUAACUUCACCGAUUGACGUUACCCGCAGAAGAAGCACCGGCUAACUCCGUGCCAGCCGCCGCCGUAA
rnacentral:rRNA from 1 species